ACAUAUCCUAUUACUCUGUGUUAAUGAAGACUAAAUUAUAUUAAUUUGUGCUGCUUGCAGUUGCUUAAGAAAGAAUUUAUGAAUGUAAAGCAGAAGCCUGUCUCUCUGAGCCUCACAAUGUGUUAGCUUUGCUACCUUCAACAGGAAAAAGACUGUGUGGUGGAUGUGAACUAUUUAUCGAAAUUGGAUAGAAAAGUGGCAGGUGUGCUCUGGGGAGCAGGGGCUGAGCAACACGUGCUUUUACACUUUCUAAAUGACAAGAAUGUUAUUGGAAUUCCACCUCUAGCUCCAAACCAAAAAUUAAAGCAAAGGGUGCAGGAAAAAGAAGUGGAAGACCUGAAAGCUGUGGAAAAUAUGG
rnacentral:lncRNA from 1 species